GACGAACGCUGGCGGCGUGCCUAAUACAUGCAAGUCGAGCGAAGUUUUUCUGGUGCUUGCCCUAGAAAAACUUAGCGGCGAACGGGUGAGUAACACGUAAAGAACCUGCCUCAUAGACUGGGACAACUAUUGGAAACGAUAGCUAAUACCGGAUAACAGUAUUUCUCGCAUGAGAGAUAUUUAAAAGUUGGUUAUGCUAACACUAUGAGAUGGCUUUGCGGUGCAUUAGCUAGUUGGUGGGGUAAAGGCCCACCAAGGCGACGAUGCAUAGCCGACCUGAGAGGGUGAUCGGCCACACUGGGACUGAGACACGGCCCAGACUCCUACGGGAGGCAGCAGUAGGGAAUCUUCCGCAAUGGGCGAAAGCCUGACGGAGCAACGCCGCGUGAGUGAAGAAGGAUUUCGGUUCGUAAAGCUCUGUUGUUAGGGAAGAGUGGAUAUGUAGUAACUAUACAUGUAAGAGACGGUACCUAACCAGAAAGCCACGGCUAACUACGUG
rnacentral:rRNA from 1 species